GGCGGGGGCGGCUCUGGGAGCACUUCCGAGUUGUAUUUUCUUCGGGGCAGGGGGAGGACAGGACGGAGGAUCCCUUCGCGGCGAUGCGCUUGCGGGUUUCUUUGGUCUCAGGAGCACCGGCACGGGGAAGCAGGCAGAAGGGCCAGCGGACUGCCCGGUCGGGUUCCCUGCGUACCGUGGGCUGCUCACUCCCGCCACGGGCACGGCUCCAGCCGGCUUGGCUCCCCACGGUCAGCCCCGCCAGGCUCCCCGUGGGGACGAGGCGAGGCUGGUUUUGCACCCCGUGGAACUUUGCGCCUGAUUUUCUUCUCAAGGUGGUGGACAUGGGCGAGCUCGGGCGGUCUCCUCAUGAGAGGUUUGGCUUCCGCAGCCCCUCAGUGCGAGGGCAAAGGCGGGGGAUGACACCCGGUGCCGCCGAGCACAAACCCCGGGCUGAGAGAGCGCCUUGGAUUUACUUUAGCCAGGCGUGCAGCCCCCUUUCCCUCUCCCAGCCCCCUCUGAAUUCUUGCUUUACAAGAUCUGCAUUUCCAAUACACUGGGGAAAAAAAUAAAUAAAAGCAACCCACAAGUCUUGUCUCUCA